AUAUAUAUAUAUAUAUGUGUGUGUGUGUGUGUGUUAGGGAUUUUCUCGUCGUGAACGACAAAUAAGGGUUCAGUAAAAUAAAGUGGUAAUCAUGUUCUAUGGACAUGAAUGCGUCUCUUGUGGCCUGCUGGUGCCUUUCUAACCAUUUGCCAAAUGG